AAGCUCCUCCUGGAUCAUCAGCCGGUGCCAGUUCGUUGUUCCUCCUAUGGACAUUAACCUUCCGGAUCCUCACCUGGUCGCAGUCCUUCCACGUUGCAGUCACGCCAACCCUGAAACCUCCAGCCAGCCGCCUCGCCUCGCCUUGCUUCGAGCUUCGCCCACGCCAUCUCAAGUAACCUCCAGCCUGCGCCCCGUCUCGUCUGGAUUCAAGCCUCGCUCUCGCCGCAGUUCACCCUCGAGGAGUUUCCCGCUCAAGAUUUCCACCAGCCUGCUCUCGCCCUCUCUGCCUGAGGAAGGAAACCCUGUCAAGCUCACGUUCAGAUUAAACCACUUAAUACUUAC